rnacentral:rRNA from 1 species
GACGAACGCUGGCGGCGUGCUUAACACAUGCAAGUCGAGCGGUAAGGCCCUUUCGGGGGUACACGAGCGGCGAACGGGUGAGUAACACGUGGGUGACCUGCCCUCAGCUCUGGGAUAAGCCUGGGAAACCGGGUCUAAUACCGGAUAUGACUCCAUGACGCAUGUUGUGGGGUGGAAAGCCUUGUGCGGCUGAGGAUGGGCCCGCGGCCUAUCAGCUUGUUGGUGGGGUGAUGGCCUACCAAGGCGACGACGGUAGCCGGCCUGAGAGGGCGACCGGCCACACUGGGACUGAGACACGGCCCAGACUCCUACGGGAGGCAGCAGUGGGGAAUCUUGCGCAAUGGGCGAAAGCCUGACGCAGCGACGCCGCGUGAGGGAUGACGGCCUCGGUGUAAC